rnacentral:rRNA from 1 species
CCUACGGGCGGCAGCAGUGGGGAAUAUUGCACAAUGGGGGGAACCCUGAUGCAGCGACGCCACGUGGGUGAAGGAGUAUUUCUGUAUGUAACGCCCUAUCAGCAGGGAAGAACAAUGACGGUAGCUGCCUAAGAAGCACCGGCUAAAGACGUGCCAGCAGCCGCGGUAAUACGUAUGGUGCAAGCCUUAUCCGGAUUUACGGGGGGUAAAGGGAGCGCAGGCGGCUCGUUAAGCCUGGUGUGAAAGUCCGUGGCCCAACCGCGGGACUGCAUUGUGAACUGGCCCGAUGGAGUGCCGGAGUGGUAGGCGGAAUUCCUAGUGUAGCGGUGAAAUGCGUAGAUAUUAGGAGGAACACCAGUGGCGAAGGCGGCCUACUGGACGGUGACUGACGCUGAGGCUCGAAAGCGUGGGGAGCAAACAGGAUUAGAUACCCGUGUAGUC